rnacentral:rRNA from 1 species
AUGCAGCCGAGCGGUAGAAGAUCUUCGGAUCUUUGAGAGCGGCGCACGGGUGCGGAACACGUGUGCAACCUGCCUUUAUCAGGGGGAUAGCCUUUCGAAAGGAAGAUUAAUACCCCAUAAUAUAAUGACUGGCAUCAGUUAUUAUUGAAAACUCCGGUGGAUAGAGAUGGGCACGCGCAAGAUUAGAUAGUUGGUGAGGUAACGGCUCACCAAGUCUGCGAUCUUUAGGGGGCCUGAGAGGGUGAUCCCCCACACUGGUACUGAGACACGGACCAGACUCCUACGGGAGGCAGCAGUGAGGAAUAUUGGACAAUGGGUGAGAGCCUGAUCCAGCCAUCCCGCGUGAAGGACGACGGCCCUAUGGGUUGUAAACUUCUUUUGUAUAGGGAUAAACCUACUCUCGUGAGAGUAGCUGAAGGUACUAUACGAAUAAGCACCGGCUAACUCCGUGCCAGCAGCCGCGGUAAUACGGAGGGUGCAAGCGUUAUCCGGAUUUAUUGGGUUUAAAGGGUCCGUAGGCUGAUUUGUAAGUCAGUGGUGAAAUCUCACAGCUCAACUGUGAAACUGCCAUUGAUACUGCAAGUCUUGAGUGUUGUUGAAGUAGCUGGAAUAAGUAGUGUAGCGGUGAAAUGCAUAGAUAUUACUUAGAACACCAAUUGCGAAGGCAGGUUACUAAGCAACAACUGACGCUGAUGGACGAAAGCGUGGGGAGCGAACAGGAUUAGAUACCCUGGUAGUCCACGCCGUAAACGAUGCUAACUCGUUUUUGGGUUUUCGGAUUCAGAGACUAAGCGAAAGUGAUAAGUUAGCCACCUGGGGAGUACGUUCGCAAGAAUGAAACUCAAAGGAAUUGACGGGGGCCCGCACAAGCGGUGGAUUAUGUGGUUUAAUUCGAUGAUACGCGAGGAACCUUACCAAGGCUUAAAUGGGAAUUGACAGGUUUAGAAAUAGACUUUUCUUCGGACAAUUUUCAAGGUGCUG